rnacentral:rRNA from 1 species
UACGUAGGGCGCAAGCGUUGUCCGGAAUUAUUGGGCGUAAAGAGCUCGUAGGUGGUUUGUUACGUCUGCUGUGAAAACCUAGGGCUUAACCCUGGGCCUGCAGUGGAUACGGGCAGACUAGAGGUAGGUAGGAGAGAAUGGAAUUCCCGGUGUAGCGGUGAAAUGCGCAGAUAUCGGGAGGAACACCGGUGGCGAAGGCGGUUCUCUGGGCCUUACCUGACACUGAGGAGCGAAAGCGUGGGGAGCGAACAGG